rnacentral:rRNA from 1 species
GAUCCUGGCUCAGGAUGAACGCUAGUUACAGGCUUAACACAUGCAAGUCGAGGGGCAGCAUGGUCUUAGCUUGCUAAGACCGAUGGCGACCGGCGCACGGGUGAGUAACGCGUAUCCAACCUGCCUUACACUCUUGGACAGCCUUCUGAAAGGGAGAUUAAUACAAGAUGUUAUCAUGAGUAAGCAUUUUCGCAUGAUUAAAGGUUUACCGGUGUAAGAUGGGGAUGCGUUCCA